rnacentral:rRNA from 1 species
GUAGGUGGCAAGCGUUGUCCGGGAAUUAUUGGGGCGUAAAGCGCGCGCAGGCGGUUUUUUAAGUCUGAUGUGAAAGCCCACGGGCUCAACCGUGGAGGGUCAUUGGAAACUGGAGAACUUGAAUACAGAAGAGGAAAGCGGAAUUCCACGUGUAGCGGUGAAAUGCGUAGAGAUGUGGAGGAACACCAGUGGCGAAGGCGGCUUUCUGGUCUGUAACUGACGCUGAGGCGCGAAAGCGUGGGGAGCAAACAGGAUUAGAUACCCUGGUAGUCCACGCCGUAAACGAUGAGUGCUAAGUGUUAGGGGGUUUCCGCCCCUUAGUGCUGCAGCUAACGCAUUAAGCACUCCGCCUGGGGAGUACGGCCGCAAAGGCUGA